rnacentral:lncRNA from 1 species
AUUUUUUAAAUUUGCAAUUUGACACAAAAUGUCCCUUUCUGCAACAGAAAUGACAUUUGCCAUCAAAGGAUGAAUGUUUGUUUGGUUUAGUAAAGAUGUCAUACAUACUCUUAGAAAUAGCAGAUUUUUGACCAUGUUUGACACUUCUGGUUUGCAUAUAACCAAUACCAUAUCUAUUUUUAUUCCUUUUAACAUGCAUGUUUGGUGUAUAUCCUAAACCAGAUUUUUCAUGAACAUGUCUUUGAUUGCUAAGUAUGACAUUCAGUUUAUCUU